rnacentral:rRNA from 1 species
UACGAAGGGGGCUAGCGUUGUUCGGAUUCAUUGGGCGUAAAGGGUGCGUAGGCGGCGCGGUAAGUCGGGUGUGAAAUCUCCGAGCUUAACUCCGAAACUGCAUUCGAUACUGCCGUGCUUGAGGGCUGGAGAGGAGACUGGAAUUUACGGUGUAGCAGUGAAAUGCGUAGAGAUCGUAAGGAAGGCCAGUGGCGAAGGCGAGUUCCUGGACAGUUACUGACGCUGAGGCACGAAGGCCAGGGGAGCAAACGGG